GGAUGUGAGGGUGAUCUGGCUGCGACAUCUGUCACCACACUGAUCACCAGGGUUGAUUUGGCUGAUCUGGUUGGCUAGGCAGGUGUCCCUUCCUCCUUCACCACUCCAUGUGCUUCCCUCUUGAAGCUCGGUCAGAGAAGAUGACCAUCCCCGAUAGAGAAGGACCAGUCUUCAGUCAAGGGUAUAUGAGUUGCUGUGCUCUCCUGCUAGAACCUCCAAACAAGCUGUUAUAGCAACACAAAACAGACUAAGACAUGCAUUAUCUAUUUUGUGAAAUUAAAGGUCAUGUCUAAGCUAUAGAGGACCUU
rnacentral:snRNA from 1 species